rnacentral:lncRNA from 1 species
UACAUACAUCAUGACACGCCCUCUGGUGGUGGUUAAUAAACAUGUAAAGUAUAAAGUAUGAAAUCAUAAUGGUUCUCUAGAUAUGGAGCGGACACAAAGUUAAAGUGUUACGGCGGACGGACGGACAGACUGAUCACUAUAGGGCGACCCGCCUAAAAAAGUUUUUUGACCUUGACCUUUGACCUAGGAAGUUGUACAUACAUCAUGACACGCCCUCUGGUGGUGGUUAAUAAACAUGUAAAGUAUUAAGUAUGAAAUCAUAAUCAUCGGACGGAUGGACGGACGGACAGACUGAUCACUAUAGGGCGAC